rnacentral:rRNA from 1 species
AUGAACGCUGGCGGCGUGCCUCACCCAUGCCAGUCGCACGAAGCACCUUACCUGAUUCUUCGGAUGAAAGUUUGGUGACUGAGUGGCGGACGGGUGAGUAACGCGUGGGUAACCUGCCCUGUACAGGGGGAUAACAGCUGGAAACGGCUGCUAAUACCGCAUAAGCGCACGAGGAGACAUCUCCUUGUGUGAAAAACUCCGGUGGUACAGGAUGGGCCCGCGUCUGAUUAGCUGGUUGGCAGGGUAACGGCCUACCAAGGCAACGAUCAGUAGCCGGUCUGAGAGGAUGAACGGCCACAUUGGAACUGAGACACGGUCCAAACUCCUACGGGAGGCAGCAGUGGGGAAUAUUGCACAAUGGGGGAAACCCUGAUGCAGCAACGCCGCGUGAGUGAAGAAGUAUUUCGGUAUGUAAAGCUCUAUCAGCAGGGAAGAUAAUGACGGUACCUGACUAAGAAGCGCCGGCUAAAUACGUG